rnacentral:lncRNA from 1 species
CCGAGGGCUUAAAACAGUUUUGAAUCUUAAAAAUAGCCAAAAAUAACAAAAAAAUGUAUGGUCUUUUUCUAGAGGUCAUGAGAUAAAAAAUAAGGCUAUAAUAAGUUGCGCAUAUAUUUUGCAUAAAAAAAAGUGUGAUUUUGUUGGAUAGUGUUCUUAUUUAUAAUUUAUAGAUAAGCUGUCGUCUUGUGUUGCGACUGGGUGCUCGAAAGGAAGAUCAUUUCGAUUCCUUUCAAAUGAUCUACAUGUCUAAAAUGAAGACAAGAAGACGAUAUUGGUUCACUCUGGACGCCAUCACCAUACUCUGAAUUAUUUGAAAAACCCUUCAAGCCAGAAGAUUUCCGAGUGCCAAGAUAAACUCCAGUAUCCGUAGGAGGAGAAGCAUAUCGGCAUUUGAAACGAGAUCAAGUCCCAUAUCUUUUUCCUUGGUCGCAAGUAAGGAAAAAUCUGUUGAGGAAAAUUUGCUUGAUCAACAUUGAAAAUGGGCAAGUUUAAGAAUGGUAACAUAAUUAAUAUCGAUGACAAUAGCAUGCUCAUGACUCCUGAUUGGACGUGUUAGUGGAGGAGGUACUGACUGAGAACAUAAUCGACGGUAUUUUAACUCCAACACAAGACGAAUAUGACCAAUCAGAUCCGUUGACCACAAAGGAUCAAUAUGUUCAGACUAUUUGUAACAAAGAAGAACUCCUUCGGCCCAAGGCUAAUAUAACUAUUUGUAUUAACCUUGUUUUGACCUAUGAUCUCGAUUCAAAACUUUGUUAAUACUCCAUCAGUUAGAUGAAUAAAAUACUAUAUACAGGGUGUCCACGAUAAAUUGGAACUAUCUUAAAAUUCAACCUGUUUGAUAAAAAUGGAA